UACGAAGGGGGCUAGCGUUGCUCGGAAUCACUGGGCGUAAAGGGUGCGUAGGCGGGUCUUUAAGUCAGGGGUGAAAUCCUGGAGCUCAACUCCAGAACUGCCUUUGAUACUGAAGAUCUUGAGUUCGGGAGAGGUGAGUGGAACUGCGAGUGUAGAGGUGAAAUUCGUAGAUAUUCGCAAGAACACCAGUGGCGAGGGCGGCUCACUGGCCCGAAACUGACGCUGAGGCACGAAAGCGUGGGGAGCAAACAGG
rnacentral:rRNA from 1 species